UGGUGGUGAUGAGGACUACUAAUCAACAAAUACUUAAACCUAUCCCAAGCUUGGUAUAUAUUUUCUACUCAUUUAUGUUUGAAACUUAAUAUCUCAUUCCUCAACUU